rnacentral:rRNA from 1 species
UACGAAGGGGGCUAGCGUUGUUCGGAUUUACUGGGCGUAAAGCGUACGUAGGCGGGUGGUUAAGUCAGAGGUGAAAUCCUGGAGCUCAACUUCAGAACUGCCUUUGAUACUGGCCAUCUUGAGUUCGGGAGAGGUGAGUGGAACUGCUAGUGUAGAGGUGAAAUUCGUAGAUAUUAGCAAGAACACCAGUGGCGAAGGCGGCUCACUGGCCCGAUACUGACGCUGAGGUACGAAAGCGUGGGGAGCAAACAGG